GACGAACGCUGGCGGCGUGCUUAACACAUGCAAGUCGAGCGGUAAGGCCCUUCGGGGUACACGAGCGGCGAACGGGUGAGUAACACGUGAGCAACCUGCCCCUGACUCCGGGAUAAGCGGUGGAAACGCCGUCUAAUACCGGAUACGACCCUCCACCUCAUGGUGGUGGGUGGAAAGUUUUAUCGGUCAGGGAUGGGCUCGCGGCCUAUCAGCUUGUUGGUGGGGUAAAGGCCUACCAAGGCGAUUACGGGUAGCCGGCCUGAGAGGGCGACCGGCCACACUGGGACUGAGACACGGCCCAGACUCCUGCGGGAGGCAGCAGUGGGGAAUAUUGCACAAUGGGCGAAAGCCUGAUGCAGCGACGCCGCGUGGGGGAUGACGGCCUUCGGGUUGUAAACCUCUUUUACCACCAACGCAGGCUCCACGUUUUCGUGGGGUUGACGGUAGGUGGGGAAUAAGGACCGGCUAACUACGUGCCAGCAGCCGCGGUAAUACGUAGGGUCCGAGCGUUGUCCGGAAUUAUUGGGCGUAAAGAGCUCGUAGGCGGCGUGUCACGUCUGCUGUGAAAGACCGGGGCUUAACUCCGGUUCUGCAGUGGAUACGGGCAUGCUAGAGGUAGGUAGGGGAGACUGGAAUUCCUGGUGUAGCGGUGAAAUGCGCAGAUAUCAGGAGGAACACCGGUGGCGAAGGCGGGUCUCUGGGCCUUACCUGACGCUGAGGAGCGAAAGCAUGGGGAGCGAACAGGAUUAGAUACCCUGGUAGUCCAUGCCGUAAACGUUGGGCGCUAGGUGUGGGGACUUUCCACGGUUUCCGCGCCGUAGCUAACGCAUUAAGCGCCCCGCCUGGGGAGUACGGCCGCAAGGCUAAAACUCAAAGGAAUUGACGGGGGCCCGCACAAGCGGCGGGAGCAUGUUGCUUAAUUCGACGCAACGCGAGAUCUUACCAGGUUUGACAUCACCCGUGGACCUGUAGAGAUACAGGUCAUUUAGUUGGUGGGUUGACAGGUGUGCAUGCUGUCGUCAGCUCGUGUCGUGAGAUGUUGGUAGUCCCGCCACGAGGCGCCACCUUGUUUCUAUGUUGCAAGACG
rnacentral:rRNA from 1 species